rfam:Myotis lucifugus cont2.45652, whole genome shotgun sequence.
GGAGGUUCUUGGGUGAUGUACCCUGGAAUCGGGCUCCCUCCUCUCUAGUUCUGAGAGCAUCACCAGAGAACUGCA